rnacentral:rRNA from 1 species
AGAGGCUCAAGUUGACAGACAACGGCGUAAAGCGUGGUUAAGGAAAACAUACAACUAAAGCGGAACCUCCUCCUAGCUGUUAUACGCUUCCGAGGAAGUGAACCCCAACUACGAAAGUGGCUUUAUCUAACCUGAACCCACGAAAGCUAAGAAACAAACUGGGAUUAGAUACCCCACUAUGCUUAGCCUUAAACAUUGAUCGUUUACUACAUCAAAUCAUCCGCCUGGGAAUUACGAACAUUA